rnacentral:rRNA from 1 species
GACGCUGGCGGCGUGCCUAACACAUGCAAGUCGAACGGUAACAGGGACUUCGGUCCGCUGACGAGUGGCGCACGGGUGAGUAACGCGUGGAGUUACCUACCCAUCAGUGAGGAACAACCUGGAGAAAUCCAGGCUAAUACCGCAUACGACCUUCGGGUGAAAGAGGGGGAUCUUCGGACCUCUCGCUGAUGGAUGGUUCCGCGUCCGAUUAGUUAGUUGGUAAGGUAAUGGCUUACCAAGACGAUGAUCGGUAGCUGGUUUGAGAGGAUGAUCAGCCACACUGGAACUGAGACACGGUCCAGACUCCUACGGGAGGCAGCAGUGGGGAAUUUUGCACAAUGGGCGCAAGCCUGAUGCAGCGACGCCGCGUGCGGGAAGAAGGCCUUCGGGUUGUAAACCGCUUUCAACAGGGAAGAAGGAAUGAGGGUCAAUACCCCUCUGCCUUGACGGUACCUGUAGAAGAAGCCCCGGCUAAUUUCGUGCCAGCAGCCGCGGUAAUACGAAAGGGGCAAGCGUUGUUCGGAUUUACUGGGCGUAAAGAGAUCGUAGGUGGCUUGUUAAGUCGGAUGUGAAAUCCCGGGGCUCAACCCCGGAACUGCAUUCGAUACUGGCAGGCUUGAGUUCGGGAGGGGGAAGCGGAAUUCCGUGUGUAGCAGUGAAAUGCGUAGAUAUACGGAGGAACACCUGAGGCGAAGGCGGCUUCCUGGACCGAUACUGACACUGAGGAUCGAAAGCGUGGGUAGCAAACAGGAUUAGAUACCCUGGUAGUCCACGCCCUAAACGAUGUCUACUAGCCGUUGCGGGUAUCGACCCCUGCAGUGGCGCAGCUAACGCAAUAAGUAGACCGCCUGGGGAGUAC